CACGUAGGGCGCGAGCGUUGUCCGGAAUUAUCGGGCGUAAAGAGCUCGUAGGCGGCCUGUUGCGUCCGCUGUGAAAGCCCGGGGCUUAACCCCGGGUCGGCAGUGGAUACGGGCAGGCUAGAGGUAGGUAGGGGAGAAUGGAAUUCCCGGUGUAGCGGUGAAAUGCGCAGAUAUCGGGAGGAACACCGGUGGCGAAGGCGGUUCUCUGGGCCUUACCUGACGCUGAGGAGCGAAAGCGUGGGGAGCGAACAGG
rnacentral:rRNA from 1 species